rnacentral:rRNA from 1 species
CGACGCUGGCGGCGUGCCUAAUACAUGCAAGUCGAACGGUCUUUCUAUGGAAGCUUGCUUCCACUGAGAAGAUAGUGGCGAACGGGUGAGUAACACGUGGGUAACCUGCCCAUAAGGAGGGGGAUAACAUCCGGAAACGGGUGCUAAUACCGCAUAGUUUUCUUGAUCGCAUGAUCGGGAAAGGAAAGACGGCCUUUGUGCUGUCGCUUAUGGAUGGACCCGCGGCGUAUUAGUUAGUUGGUGAGGUAACGGCUCACCAAGACGAUGAUACGUAGCCGACCUGAGAGGGUGAUCGGCCACAUUGGGACUGAGACACGGCCCAAACUCCUACGGGAGGCAGCAGUAGGGAAUCUUCCGCAAUGGACGAAAGUCUGACGGAGCAACGCCGCGUGAGUGAAGAAAGGGUUUUCGGAUCGUAAAACUCUGUUGUCAGAGAAGAACAAGUUGGAGAGUAACUGCUCCAGCCUUGACGGUAUCUGACCAGAAAGCCACGGCUAACUACGUGCCAGCCGCAGC